GCUAGCGAUGCAUUUCAUUUCAUCUGUGCAGAUCUUCUUCUAUCCUUCACAUUCCCCACACAGAGGCAAUAGUGUAAGUACAAAACUGUGAUGGUAGUGAGCUUAAUUUUUAUGUCUAUAAUGUUCUGAUCUAUGACAUAUUUUUGUAUAAUUUGGAUCUGUGUUUGAACAUCCACUGGAUUAUGCUAUUCAGAUUUUCUAGGCUCAUCACUGAGAAAUGAAACAUCCUUUUACUCUGAUCACAUUUUCAUAUAAGCUGCCUCCCACCCCUGCCAGUCCCUAUACACAGUGGCAUGUCUUUUAGCAAUCUGUUUGUGUUUAAGGAUGGCUGCUUAGGAAAAUCUGGGAGGCAGUGUGUGCACCAGACAUACUUCUGGUGCUUGGUUCAGAAAUCCUCAAACACACUUAGGAAUGUUACAUUCACACUGGAAAUAACUAAGGGAUAUACAAACACACCCAGCAAAUAAGGCAAUAUAGACUCUUGAAUUCUUGUUUCUCUUCUAAGAGAGCAUUCUGGCAUUUACAGACGGCCAGCGGUGGCCUUGAUAUAUUUGCACGUUUUGAGAAGGGGGGUUGUCUGCUUUCUCUGGAAGCUCUGUGAGAGUCUUCCCAUCUCAGACCUUUCUCUGCACUACACUGUUGAGACAGCUUGACCCCAAAAUAGAAGUUUAAACUGUUUACUGACCAAACCCUCUGGUGUCUAUUUUCUGGUAUGCACAACCACUCACCAAUCUCUCCUAGGAUUCCAAGUGACUUAACAUUAUCGUUGAAUGCAUCGCCAGUACAAUGCAGUGUGUAAUAAAAUUCCCAGUGAGUGGAGAGUUAAUAACAUCCUUUAAUAUGGAAUUUGGACAAGUUGCCAUCAUGGUUAAUGAGAGUAUUAAGUCUGAACUUGAUUCUUCUAUUUGCAGGUAUUUGUUCUGAGGGGAAAUUUAUGUUGUGUGAAAAGAAUUUGAAAACGUGUAAGGUGUAAUUAUCAUCAACGUGUGGCAUCUGCUAAAGUUUUUAACUUCAGUUAUGUGAGCAGUAAGUACGCUUUUUGGCAUGUGGCCACAGGAAAAUUGCUUCAGAAAAUGUAGACAGCCACAAUGUCCUCUUUUUCUUAUGUGGGAACUUACCUUGGAUAAUAUACAACCUUCUCAGGACCCGACAUUUUAUAUUGUCUCAAUAAGUUGCUCAAAACAUUAUCAAAAUUAGCAAUGAUUUUCAAUGUGGAUAUUAUUACCAAAAUCCAAGUCUCGUUUUCACUUUCAAUAAGGUAUGGCUUGGAAAUUUUAAAUAAAAUUUUGAUGUUUCAUAUUUUCUUUUUUAAAAAGAUUUUUAUUUAUUUAUUAUCUGUAAGCACACUGUAGCUGUCUUCAGACACUCCAGAAGAAGGCAUCAGAUCUCAUUACGGAUGGUUGUGAGCCACCAUGUGGUUGCUGGGAUUUGGACUCUGGUCUUUCGGAAGAGCAGUCAGUGCUCUUAAGAGCUGAGCCAUCUCUCCAGCCUCUGUUUCAUAUUUUCUUGUGCAAUGACUUUACUAACAUGAUUGGUUGAAUAUAUGUACUGAAAUCUAUCUUUAUUGAAGUCUACUCGCUUAUCUGGUACUUACAGGGUGUUAGAAAGCAUCCUUCUCCUGUUACUACAAGCCUGCUUUUAUUGCAUCCUGCCAACUUGAUGGGAGAAGAAUCUUUUGGUUGGUGAUCUUUGAUAAAAUUAUGUUAAUAAAAACAACUUCUUGACACACAUUUUUCUAUAUAUGAAAAAUAUUACCUGACACUCAUUAUUUUGGGUUAUAGAAAUCAUAUUUAUAACUGUUAAACUUUAUCAUUGGUUUGUUUAGAUAUAUCUUCUCAGACAUGAAGGUAUGAGAGGUACUUACUCGUAGGUAGGAAUAUUGAUGAGGGUGUGGCAUGUCAAUGUGAUCAGAAUGUAUGGUAAACAUGAGAAAUUGUUUAAAGAAUAAAUUUCAUUCAAAAGAUGUUAAGAGAAUUAACUUUAACUCAUCUUAGGCUGGACAUAAGUAUUUAGAGGCUAGUGAUAUUUAUUAACUAUGUCAGCAUAUUUCUACUUUAUGAUUGAAUAAGCAUCCAGAAAGAUCUAAUACAAAUUGAAUACUUUAUAUUAUUUUAAAUUGAAGAACACUGAAAAUUACAAUUGUAUAUUUUUCUUGCUAAACAUUUUUUGCUAUUAUG
rnacentral:lncRNA from 1 species